ensembl:lncRNA
GGGGAGUGUGGAGUAGACGCGCGCGCUCUGUGUGCAGAUGCGGAUGUGUGCAGUCGGUGUGUUAGUGUCAGUGUUAGUGCAGCAGAAUGAAAUAUACCCCGUGUUACAGGCGGGUGCAGGUGAACAGGUGGAGUACAGAGAUGGAAAGGGUUUGAUUUAAGCGCAGUGAGAUGCGGCGCUGAGGAUUAAAUCGGUGCGUCGCUGCGGGGUGUGUGUGUGUGUUUGUGUGUGAGUGUGAGUGUGUUGAACUGAGUCUGUGCAGCUUUCAGUCGGUAAAACUGCACCCAUGAGUGAUUUUACAGACGCACCGGGGAGUCAUUUCCGCGCCUCGGACUGGGCGGUGAGUGAUGCGCGCGCGGACAUGAUGGACACACACGGUAUGUUGUUAGGCCUAGCUGAGGAUGCUGCCUACUCGGACCCGGACUAUCUGGACCCGAACUACACAGACAGCGAGGUACCGACGGCGAGACCGCGCCCGAGCACGCGCAGCCGGUCCGGAGAGGUGACGGAGCUCGAGGCGCAGGAAGUGCGCUGGUUCUACAGAGAGGACAAGAGGAACUGGAAGCCCUUCGUGGGACACGACUCUCUAAAGAUCGAGCUGGCGCACCGGACACUGUGCGCGCUGAUGGAUGCGCGUGAGGGCGUGUUUGAGCGGAGGACAGUGUGUGUGAGUGUGAGUGUGUGUGUGAGGACGUGGGUGUGGAGGCGGUGUGUGUGCGCGGAGGACUGUACGAGGUGGAUGUGAAGGAGAAGGAGUGUUAUCCGGUCUACUGGAACCGUGAGUUCAUCACUUUCAUCAAAAUAAUAAUAAUAAUAACAAUAAAUCAGGGAUGUUUAACUGCCCUCUAGUGGACGGUGGAGAAAUUACAGGGACAGUCUCGUGACGCCCCCUACCCUGGUUUACUUAUUUAUACUGUAUAUAUGAUGUGAAAAGGUGCAUGUGGUGCUCCUUUAAGCUUCAGUGGCAUUUGGGACACAGCUGAAGGUGUGUUAGAGUGUGUUACAGAGUGUGUGUGUGUUACAGAGCAGGAGCGUAUCCCGGUGAUGAGAGCGCAGUGGUUUACAGACGCACGUGGCUCCCGCUGGACGAGGAGGACGGAGACCUGAUAGAGCUGGAGCAUUUAGCAAAAUUUAGGGGAUAUCGAAUCGAAGAUUCCCUCGAAACUGAGGGAGUGAGCACAUCGCCUGAGAGCAAGGAGGUGAUGCACAGUGUGAAGUUGAGUCGCAGUCAUGUAGACUGGCACAGCGUGGAUGAAGUUUAUCUGUACAGCGACGCCACAACGUCUAAAAUCGCUCGAACCGUCACACAGAAACUCGGAUUCUCCAAGGCCUCCAGUAGUGGGACACGUCUCCAUCGUGGUUAUGUGGAGGAGGCGGCUCUGGAAGACACGCCCCCUGCCGCCACCCACAUUGUGUUUGUGGUGCAUGGGAUUGGGUCAGAAAAUGGACCAGGGGCGGAUCAUCAGGAACACCAGCAUGAUGCGCGAUGCAGCGAGGAAAAUGGCGGAGAAGCAUUUCUCAGAGCGGACGACGGAGCACGUGGAGUUCCUGCCUGUGG